UAAGGAAUAUUGGACAAUGGUCGCAAGACUGAUCCAGCCAUGCCGCGUGAAGGAUGAAGGCCCUAUGGGUUGUAAACUUCUUUUGUACGGGAAAAAACCCCUCUACGUGUAGAGGGCUGAUUGUACCGUAAGAAUAAGGAUCGGCUAACUCCGUGCCAGCAGCCGCGGUAAUACGGAGGAUCCAAGCGUUAUCCGGAUUCAUUGGGUUUAAAGGGUGCGUAGGCGGAAUGAUAAGUCAGUGGUGAAAGCCUGCAGCUUAACUGCAGAACUGCCAUUGAUACUGUCAAUCUUGAGUACAUUUGAUGUGGGCGGAAUGUGUCAUGUAGCGGUGAAAUGCUUAGAUAUGACACAGAACACCGAUUGCGAAGGCAGCUCACAAAACUGUAACUGACGCUGAGGCACGAAAGCGUGGGUAUCAAACAGGAUUAGAUACCCCUGUAGUCC
rnacentral:rRNA from 1 species